rnacentral:lncRNA from 1 species
AUAAAGCUAUAAAGUUGAUUUUAUACUUCAUUUCAAGUGAGUGGCAAACUUGUAAUUAAUCCAAGUUUGCAACCCUCACCCUUAUGGCCGGCCUUACCUUUGUUAUUGGGCUAAUUGCCCAUUUUGUUUUAGUUGUCAUACAACUUAAACAUAAUGGGCCUUGUGGACUAAAACGCUUUUGAGCCCCGAAGCCCAAAACCAACUUAAAAGCCUAAUACGAACCUUUCGUAAAAUUAAUUAAUUAAUUAAUUAAUCUUGACCAUUCUCAAUUAAACCAUUUAAUUGCUUAUCCAUCUCAUUUAUAUUU